rnacentral:miRNA from 4 species
UAAUCUCAAUUUGUAAAUGUG